rnacentral:rRNA from 1 species
ACGAUGAAGAACGCAGCGAAGUGCGAUAAGCAAUGCGAAUUGCAGAGCCGAGAGUCAUCAGAUUUUUGAACGUAACUGGCACCGUCGGGUUUUCCCAACGGUAUGCUUCUUUCAGUGUGUGAUUUUCUCCUCACCCAAACCUUAAUGCGAUAGAUGCCCUUCUAUUGCUAAGCAAGAAAGCACUCUGAACUCUGCAGCGAUAGUUUCGACUGUCGCACCCAAUGCAGUAGUCACAUUCUCAAAUGUGAACUCAUUGAGAGUAGAGUCAGCGCAUGCUUGCAUGCCAGUGCUUGGAGAUACAAAUUUUUUCAACAUCUGAGAUGAAGUAGGACGACCCGCUGAACUUAAGCAUAUCAUUAAGCGGAGGAAAAGAAACUAACAAGGAUUCCCUCAGUACGGGCGACGGAAGCGGGAAAAGCCCACAUUGGUAAUCUCCAGGUUUCACCUGGCGAAUUGUAAUCUGAAGAUUGUUAGCCCACCUGGAUAACGCGUCGAAAUGCGUGCGAGCGCGCUGCCAAAGAGGGUGAGAGCCCCGUAAGGUGCGUUGUCCUAACGGUGCUGGCGGUCGAAGAGUCGUGUACUUUGAUACUAGUGCACUAAGCGGGAGAUAAACUUCUUCUAAGGCUAAAUAUAAGUAGGAAACCGAUAGCGAACAAGUACUGUGAAGGAAAGAUGAAAAGCACUUUGAAGAGAAAGUUAAAAGACUUGAAAUCGUUGAGGCGGACCCGGUAGAAAUGUAUUCUAGCGAAGCGCCCUGGGAAGCCUGUAUUCGGGCCACUCGGGCGCUAGCCGAGACAAGAUGGAGUCGCGCGAUGCCAGAGGCGGUGCAGGAGCUUGCUUGCAGGAGCCUGUGCUUGUUGGGUGUCACGCGGCUUGAGGGGCCUUGCGCGAUCUUGUCAAAAUGGUUUUUACCGACUCGUCUUGAAACACGAACCAAGGAGUCUAAGACUAACGCGAGUGUGGUGGUGGAGAAACCAACACGCGAAAUGAAAGUAAAUGAUGCCAAGCACCCUGCAGCAUCGACCGACUUUUUUCUUCUGGAAGAGGUUUGAGUAAGAGCGUUAUUCUUAGGACCCGAAAGAUGGUGAACUAUGCCUGUGUAGGGUGAAGUCAGGGGAAACUCUGAUGGAAGCUCGUAGCGAUACUGACGUGCAAAUCGUUCGUCUAACAUGGGUAUAGGGGCGAAAGACUAAUCGAACCAUCUAGUAGCUGGUUCCCUCCGAAGUUUCCCUCAGGAUAGCUGGGACAACAACGCAGUUUUAUUAGGUAAAGCGAAUGAUUAGAGGCAUCGGGGAUAAAGUGUCCUUGACCUAUUCUCAAACUUUAAAUUGGUAAGAACUCCUGUCUUCUCUUAAUUGAAGCUGGAGCGUCAAUGCGUGUCCUUAGUGGGCCAUUUUUGGUAAGCAGAACUGGCGAUGAGGGUUGCUCCUAACGUUGAGUUAAGGUGCCAAACUGCACGCUCAUCAGAAACUACAAAGGGUGUUAGUUCAUGAAGACAGCAGGACGGUGGCCAUAGAAGUCGGAACCCGCUAAGGAGUGUGUUACAACUCACCUGCCGAACGAACUAGUCCCGAAAAUGGAUGGCGCUAAAGCGUGUGACCGAUACUCAACCAUUGGUGCGAGAGUUAUGCAUCAAUGAGUAGGAGGGCGUGGGCGUCGUGGCGAAGCCUCUAGCGUGAGCUUGGGUUGAACGGCGUCUAGUGCAGAUCUUGGUGGUAGUA